rnacentral:rRNA from 1 species
UACGAAGGGGGCUAGCGUUGCUCGGAAUUACUGGGCGUAAAGCGCACGUAGGCGGCUUUCUAAGUCGGGGGUGAAAUCCUGGAGCUCAACUCCAGAACUGCCUUCGAUACUGGAGAGCUCGAGUCCGGGAGAGGUGAGUGGAACUGCGAGUGUAGAGGUGAAAUUCGUAGAUAUUCGCAAGAACACCAGUGGCGAAGGCGGCUCACUGGCCCGGUACUGACGUUGAGGCGCGAAAGCGUGGGGAGCAAACAGG